CAAAGUUCAUAGCAGGUUGAACAUGCUUGCUGUCAUUUUCACAGAUUCUGGUCUUUCUUAUGGGGAACCUGAGUUCCUGCAUUAAAGUUCCCCCAGAAGAUCAAUGGAAGGUGGAUUCCAAAGAGUGGGCAAGUGAGGACCCCUUCUCUGUUACCAAGGUGACCCCAAGGAACACAGUAAAUGUGGCGGCUUAUUUGGCCUCCCCAGGACGGACUGGAGCAUCAGUAGUGCCUGAGUUCAUCAAAGGACAGAUGCUCAAGACACCUUGAUCACCAUUAGGUGGAAUUGAAGGAGCCAAAAAUGGGCGCAGUGGCUCCUCAGCAGAGACGCUCCUGAAUGUAUAGACAUGGGAACCACUUUCAGCAUCAAAAAAGGAAACGUUCUGCAUGCCCAUAUCCAGAAAAAUCCCCACUCGCUGUAACUUGCGGUCUACUAAGAGGAAAGUCAGCGGCACCGUGCUGGCAGAGAGGCGGCUUCCAUCCCUCAAACUCACAGUCCAGAAUCCAAGCUCUGUGGUCAGCUGGAUCUUCCCUUUGCAGUGAACAGAUUCUCUGCAGACUCCCAGGUCCCAUUCUGUGCUUGUUCCCACGUCCACCUCCCAGUAGUGGCGGCCACAGGUAAAGCGAGGGGAGCCCAGGAUGCAAACGGACACGUCAAAUCUCUCGGCAAGGUCUUGCCGAUUCUGUGUGAUGAGCCCACUUCGGACGCUCCUGAGGUCGUCAGAAAUGAGGAGGAAGUUGUUGGCUGUGUCGGCAUCCAAGGUCAUAUCCACUGUGAAAAGGAAAACAAGUUGCUCAGCAAGUGGACAGAAGCCAACCCCAUGCCUCUCUUCUACUUCAAAGGCCCAAAUAUCUCCUGACUUUAGUUUCUUUAAUUCUGUUUCUUCCUCCAAAAUCAAAACUUUUCAUGAGGAAACUUCCCUAUUUCAAAUUUUCAUAGGUAUGCUUUGUGGCAAUACGUGACUCUUAUUCACAGUAGCAAUUCUUAUUUUACUUUACGUCACGUGUUUGCUUCACUGAACUUUUCUUCAUUUAGAGUGGAGGGUCUCUGAAGGCAGACACCAUGCCCCCCUUUCUACCACCUUGAUGUGUGAACAAAUAAAUGAUAAUUAAGACAA
rnacentral:lncRNA from 1 species